AUAACUAUUGGAAACGAUGGCUAAUACCGCAUAAUGCCUACGGGCCAAAGAGGGGGACCUUCGAGCCUCUCGCGUCAGGAUAUGCCUAGGUGGGAUUAGCUAGUUGGUGAGGUAAUGGCUCACCAAGGCGACGAUCCCUAGCUGGUCUGAGAGGAUGAUCAGCCACACUGGAACUGAGACACGGUCCAGACUCCUACGGGAGGCAGCAGUGGGGAAUAUUGCACAAUGGGCGCAAGCCUGAUGCAGCCACGCCGCGUGUGUGAAGAAGGCCUUCGGGUUGUAAAGCACUUUCAGUCGUGAGGAAGGUGGUGUAGUUAAUAGCUGCAUUAUUUGACGUUAGCGACAGAAGAAGCACCGGCUAACUCCGUGCCAGCAGCCGCGGUAAUACGGAGGGUGCGAGCGUUAAUCGGGAUUACUGGGCGUAAAGCGCAUGCAGGUGGUUUGUUAAGUCAGAUGUGAAAGCCCGGGGCUCAACCUCGGAAUAGCAUUUGAAACUGGCAGACUAGAGUACUGUAGAGGGGGGUAGAAUUUCAGGUGUAGCGGUGAAAUGCGUAGAGAUCUGAAGGAAUACCGGUGGCGAAGGCGGCCCCCUGGACAGACACUGACACUCAGAUG
rnacentral:rRNA from 1 species